AGCCAUUGCCCAGCAGCCGCAGAACCAUGUCUGCUCUGAGCUGGGUACUGUCUGUUCAGAACAAACACCGGUUUCCGGCAUGCAGCCAAGUGGCC
rnacentral:pre_miRNA from 1 species